GGCCAAUCAGCACUUCCUGAAGCCAAUGUGACCCUACUGUGAUACAAUGCCCAGAGGUUUGGUUCAUUUAAUAGAUAUGUAUGUUUAUAAUUGAGUCAUUCUAGUGUUUUGGAAGUUGUUUCAAAACAAUAUUUUGGUAUAUUUUUAUGAAAGUAGUCCAUAUUUAAAAGUUAAAGCCACAACUGCAUUAUUGUGUCUGGUCAUUUAUAAGAUUGGACAUUUUUGUUUGAUAUUGUGAAAAGUAUAUGACACAGGAAUUUAGAUAAGGAUUAAUUAAUUUACUAUCUUAUCCUAUGACUACAUUAAGCUGAAGACUGUGUUCUACAUUGAGGAUUCAAAGAUGCCAAGAAAGUAGAUCAACAAGUUUUUUUCUUUUGGUGAAGAGCAGAUGGGCUCAAAAUAAACCUCUGGUUCAUCAUACACGCUCAGACAACCCUCCAGGAAAGGGAGGUUUUUGCCCUCCUUUGCAAGGUCAGUCUCUUUCCAUUUUUUCCCCAAAUCCCCCCUCACCCCCACAGGCACUUCUCUUUUAUAUGUUUAAUUACUUCAUAGCUUUUCNCAGGAAAGGGAGGUUUUUGCCCUCCUUUGCAAGAUGCAACUUGUCUCCCGAUAGAUUGAGUGAAUUACUAUCAGCAAACAAAUGAUAGUGGGAAAGAAAAGCUAUUAAUAAGAAGCAAUGAUGGAAGAAUAAGAAACGGGACAGAGAAAGAAUUGGCAACAAUAAUCCAUUACCCAGUGUUGACUAUUUACAGAAUAUUUUACUCAUAUUUUACAUCACCAUUACAGAGUAAAUGAAGAGAAUGUCUCAUUUUGUCUUCUGUCUAUAUUGGCAAGGGUCAAAAGUGUUGAGCCUCAAAGUCACUUUUAAGUAGUGAUUUGGGAGGUAUGCCCCCUUGUAGUAGCAUGCUUACCUUUAGAUAAGUCAGAAACACUGUACUCUGCUGGAAAAAAUAUAAGGGCCAGAAACAUCAGGGUCUGACCUCAAGAGAAGCAGCAGGAGAGCAAAGCCAACAUUGAUGAACCAGAUGAAGACAGAAAGAAAUGGGACAAUGGCUUAAAGUGAUCCAUGAAAACUAAUGAGAUUGGAAUAAAAUAAAAUUGGGUAAAGAGUGGAUGACUGAA
rnacentral:lncRNA from 1 species